rnacentral:rRNA from 1 species
GAUGAACGCUGACAGAAUGCUUAACACAUGCAAGUCUUUGGCGAAGCUGUGCUUGCACAGCCUAGCCAAGGCGGACGGGUGAGUAACGCGUAAGGAACUUGCCCUGCAGUCAGGGAUAACAGACGGAAACGACUGAUAAGACCUGGUAAAGUCAGGCGGACUCAUGUCCAGCCUGAUGAAAAGAGAUGCUGCAGGAGAGCCUUGCGUCCUAUUAGCUUGUUGGUGGGGUAACGGCCCACCAAGGCGAUGAUAGGUAGCCGGCCUGAGAGGGUGGACGGCCACAAGGGGACUGAGAUACGGCCCUUACUCCUACGGGAGGCAGCAGUAGGGAAUAUUGGACAAUGGGGGCAACCCUGAUCCAGCAAUUCUGUGUGCACGAUGAAGGUUUUCGGAUUGUAAAGUGCUUUCAGCAGGGAAGAAAAAAAUGACGGUACCUGCAGAAGAAGCGACGGCUAAAUACGUGCCAGCAGCCGCGGUAAUACGUAUGUCGCAAGCGUUAUCCGGAAUUAUUGGGCAUAAAGGGCAUCUAGGCGGCCAGAUAAGUCUGGGGUGAAAACUUGCGGCUCAACCGCAAGCCUGCCCUGGAAACUAUGUGGCUAGAGUACUGGAGAGGUGGACGGAACUGCACGAGUAGAGGUGAAAUUCGUAGAUAUGUGCAGGAAUGCCGAUGAUGAAGAUAGUUCACUGGACGGUAACUGACGCUGAAGUGCGAAAGCUAGGGGAGCAAACAGG